GAUGAACGCUGGCGGCGUGCCUAAUACAUGCAAGUCGAGCGAACAGACGAGGAGCUUGCUCCUCUGACGUUAGCGGCGGACGGGUGAGUAACACGUGGAUAACCUACCUAUAAGACUGGGAUAACUUCGGGAAACCGGAGCUAAUACCGGAUAAUAUAUUGAACCGCAUGGUUCAAUAGUGAAAGACGGUUUUGCUGUCACUUAUAGAUGGAUCCGCGCCGCAUUAGCUAGUUGGUAAGGUAACGGCUUACCAAGGCGACGAUGCGUAGCCGACCUGAGAGGGUGAAUGGCCACACUGGAACUGAGACACGGUCCAGACUCCUACGGGAGGCAGCAGUAGGGAAUCUUCCGCAAUGGGCGAAAGCCUGACGGAGCAACGCCGCGUGAGUGAUGAAGGUCUUCGGAUCGUAGAACUCUGUUAUUAGGGAAGAACAAAUGUGUAAGUAACUAUGCACGUCUUGACGGUACCUAAUGAGAAAGCCACGGCUAACUACGUG
rnacentral:rRNA from 1 species